UACAGAGGGGGCGAGCGUUGUUCGGAAUUACUGGGCGUAAAGGGCGCGUAGGCGGCCUUCUAAGUCGAACGUGAAAUCCCCGGGCUCAACCCGGGAACUGCGUCCGAUACUGGGAGGCUUGAAUCCGGGAGAGGGAUGUGGAAUUCCAGGUGUAGCGGUGAAAUGCGCAGAUAUCAGGAGGAACACCGGUGGCGAAGGCGGGUCUCUGGGCCGAUACUGACGCUGGAGGAGCGAAAGCGUGGGGAGCGAACAGG
rnacentral:rRNA from 1 species